rnacentral:misc_RNA from 1 species
UCCCCGCUUCUUGAACACGACACUAUUAAUGUGUCCCGUGCAAAAAGCGGGGCAGUUCUCCGUGACAUAUAUAACACGGAGCAGGGGUUGCGCUCGUUACCCAAAUUAAUGGAACGCCUCACGGCACGAGCUGACGACAACCAUGCAGCACCUGUGCUUAUUGUCUUUUAAGGGAAAGCCAAUGUUUCCAUCGGCGGUCAAUAAGCAUUUCAAACCCUGGUAAGGUUCCUCGCUUGUCAUCGAAUUGAACCUCAUGUUCCACCGCUUGUGCGAGUCCCCGUCUAUUCCUUUGAGUUUUAAGCUUGCGCUCGUACUUCCCAGGCGGCCUGCUUAACGCGUUAACUACGGCACUCCGAGGGUCGAUACUCGAAACACCUAGCAGGCAUCGUUUAGGGCGUGG